CAGUUCCUACCGGGAGAAUGGAGCUCGCUCCGGCUAUUGGAUGAGCCUAAGUCGAAUAAGCUAGUGUGGGGUUAAAGCUCACCAGCCGACGAUCCGUAGCUGUUCUGAGAGAUGAUCAGCACAUCGGGACUGAGACACGGGCCCGGACUCCUACGGGAGGCAGCAGUGGGGGAUAUUGACAAUGGGCGAAAGCUGAUCCAGCCAUGCCGCGUGUGUGAGAAGGCCCUCGGGUUGUUAAGCACUUUCAGCGAGGAAGAACGGCUUAGUGGUUAAUACCAUUAGGAAAGACAUCACUCGCAGAAGAAGCACCGGGCUAACUCCGUGCCAGCAGCCGCGGUAAUACGGAGGGUGCAAGCGUUAAUCGGAAUUACUGGGCGUAAAGCGCGCGUAGGUGGCUUGAUAAGCCGGUUGUGAAAGCCCCGGGCUCAACCUGGGAACGGCAUCCGGAACUGUCAAGCUAGAGUGCAGGAGAGGAAGGUAGAAUUCCCGGUGUAGCGGUGAAAUGCGUAGAGAUCGGGAGGAAUACCAGUGGCGAAGGCGGCCUUCUGGACUGACACUGCACUGAGGUGCGAAAGCGUGGGUAGCAAACAGGAUUAGAUACCCUGGUAGUCCACGCCGUAAACGAUGUCGACCAGCCGUUGGGUGCCUAGCGCACUUUGUGGCGAAGUUAACGCGAUAAGUCGACCGCCUGGGGAGUACGGCCGCAAGGUUAAAACUCAAAUGAAUUGACGGGGGCCCGCACAAGCGGUGGAGCAUGUGGUUUAAUUCGAUGCAACGCGAAGAACCUUACCUACUCUUGACAUCCUGCGAACUUGUGAGAGAUCACUUGGUGCCUUCGGGAACGCAGAGACAGGUGCUGCAUGGCUGUCGUCAGCUCGUGUUGUGAAAUGUUGGGUUAAGUCCCGUAACGAGCGCAACCCUUGUCCUUAUUUGCCAGCGCGUAAUGGCGGGAACUCUAAGGAGACUGCCGGUGACAAACCGGAGGAAGGUGGGGACGACGUCAAGUCAUCAUGGCCCUUACGAGUAGGGCUACACACGUGCUACAAUGGCCGGUACAAAGGGUUGCGAGCUCGCGAGAGUCAGCUAAUCCCGAAAAGCCGGUCUCAGUCCGGAUCGGAGUCUGCAACUGACUCCCGUGAAGUCGGAAUCGCUAGUCACUCUCCAGUAGUGCAUCGACGACGCAUACCAAAACCCCCGG
rnacentral:rRNA from 1 species